UACGGAGGGGGCUAGCGUUGUUCGGAAUUACUGGGCGUAAAGCGCACGUAGGCGGACUGUUAAGUCGGGGGUGAAAUCCUGGGGCUCAACCUCAGAAUUGCCUCCGAUACUGGCAGUCUCGAGUGCGGGAGAGGUGAGUGGAAUUCCCAGUGUAGAGGUGAAAUUCGUAGAUAUUGGGAGGAACACCUAUGGCGAAGGCAGCUCGCUGGGACGUUACUGACGCUGAGACGCGAAAGCGUGGGGAGCAAACAGG
rnacentral:rRNA from 1 species